GGCGGCUGUAGCGCGGUGGUCCCACCUGACCCCAUGCCGAACUCAGAAGUGAAACGCCGUAGCGCCGAUGGUAGUGUGGGGUCUCCCCAUGCGAGAGUAGGGAACUGCCAG
rnacentral:rRNA from 2 species